GAGUUUGAUCCUGGCUCAGAUUGAACGUUGGCGGUAGGCUUAACACAUGCAAGUCGAACGAGAAAGGUCCUUCGGGGCUGAGUAAAGUGGCGGACGGGUGAGUAACGCGUAGGAAUCUACCCAGUAGUAGGGGACAACCCGAGGAAACUCGCUAAUACCUUAUACGAUCUAGGGAUGAAAGAGGGCCUCUAUUUAUAAGCUCUCGCUAUUGGAGGAGCCUGCGUUGGAUUAGCUAGUUGGUAGGGUAAUGGCCUACCAAGGCGACGAUCCAUAGCUGGUCUGAGAGGACGAUCAGCCACACUGGAACUGAGACACGGUCCAGACUCCUACGGGAGGCAGCAGUGGGGAAUAUUGCGCAAUGGGCGAAAGCCUGAUCCAGCCAUGCCGCGUGUGUGAAGAAGGCCUUAGGGUUGUAAAGCACUUUCAGUGGUGAAGAAAUGCUUAGGGUUAAUAGCCCUGAGUCUUGACGUUAACCACAGAAGAAGCACCGGCUAACUCCGUGCCAGCAGCCGCGGUAAUACGGAGGGAGCGAACGUUAAUCGGAAUUACUGGGCGUAAAGCGCACGUAGGCGGUUUGUUAAGUGGGAUGUGAAAGCCCCGGGCUCAACCUGGGAAUUGCAUUGCAAACUGGCAGACUAGAGUACAGUGGAAGGCGGCGCCGUAAACGAUGAGAACUAGCCGUUGGGCCCCUUGAGGGUUUAGUGGCGCAGCUAACGCGAUAAGUUCUCCGCCUGGGGAGUACGACCGCAAGGUUAAAACUCAAAUGAAUUGACGGGGGCCCGCACAAGCGGUGGAGCAUGUUGUUUAAUUCGAUGCAACGCGAAGAACCUUACCAUCCCUUGACAUCCACGGAACUUUCUAGAGAUAGAUUGGUGCCUUCGGGAACCGUGUGACAGGUGCUGCAUGGCUGUCGUCAGCUCGUGUCGUGAGAUGUUGGGUUAAGUCCCGUAACGAGCGCAACCCUUAUCCUUAUUUGCCAGCGGAUUAUGCCGGGAACUCUAAGGAGACUGCCGGUGACAAACCGGAGGAAGGCGGGGACGAGGUCAAGUCAUCAUGGCCCUCACGGGAUGGGCUACAAACGUGCUACAAUGGGCAGUACAAAGGGCAGCGAUCCUGCGAAGGGGAGCGAAUCCCAAAAAACUGUUCGUAGUCCGGAUAGGAGUCUGCAACUCGACUCCUUGAAGUUGGAAUCGCUAGUAAUCGCGAAUCAGAAUGUCGCGGUGAAUACGUUCCCGGGCCUUGUACACACCGCCCGUCACGUCAUGGGAGUGGGUUGCACCAGAAGUAGCUAGUCUAACCUUCGGGAGGGCGGCUACCACGGUGUGGUUCAUGACUAGGAUGAAGUCGUAACAAGGUAGCCGUAGGGGAACCUGCGGCUGG
rnacentral:rRNA from 1 species